AUUUAUUGUUAAGACUGUAACUAAAGAAAAACCUUCUGAUCUCGGAAGCAAAGCAGGGUCAGGCCUGGUUAGUACUUGGAUGGGAGACUGCCCGGGAAUACCAGGCGCUGUAAGCU
rnacentral:rRNA from 1 species